rnacentral:rRNA from 2 species
UACAGAGGGUGCGAGCGUUGUCCGGAAUCACUGGGCGUAAAGGGCGCGUAGGUGGCGAUCCAAGUCCAUGGUGAAAGCUCGAUGCUCAACAUCGAGUCGGCCACGGAUACUGGGUUGCUUGAGCACUGUAGGGGCAGAUGGAAUUCCGGGUGUAGCGGUGGAAUGCGUAGAGAUCCGGAAGAACACCGGUGGCGAAGGCGGUCUGCUGGGCAGUUGCUGACACUGAGGCGCGACAGCGUGGGGAGCAAACAGG